ACAGAGAUCUUAGCUAAUGAGGCGUAAUUUACGGACCAGCCUCCAAGGACAAGCCUUGAGUUUCCUGCAGGCUGGGCCCAGGCUGAGCCCUCCCUGGGGUCAUUUUACAUCGCCGGCCCCUCCUCAGUGGGAACGGUGACAUCGUCCCUCCCCUGGCCCUCUGUG
rnacentral:lncRNA from 1 species